UCGCGGCCUUCAUCUUGCCGUGCGAGACCCAGCGAAUCAGUUCAACAGAUUUUGGGCCCAGCAGUUAGGCCCGUGUCUAUAGCCCAUCUUCACGCAAUUUCAGCCCAAGAAAUUCCAGUCCAGCGAAGCCCUACAAAAUAAGAAGCCCAGCAGAAGUUUGGCCCAACCUGCAGCAAGCCUUUUUGAAGUCCGCAAAGAUUUUCAUCAGGCCCAAGCCCAAGAUUAAGUCCAGAAUUUUCUGUGGGCUUGUGAAGUUUCUUGGCCCGGCCCGAGGGUGCAUCGAUGCCGCCGAAAUUUUGGACUUCGGCUGCCGCCAUCGCGUCGCCUUCGCGGUGAUUCGGUCUCCGCUUUUACCAAGUGAGUUUUACUCACUAAAGCUUUAUUAGUUUGCUAAUUAUGCCUUAGGGUUGGUUAGAUUUAAUUACAUGCAUUUAGGUGGUUAGAUUAGGUUAGAACAAUUAAAUUAGUGACUUGAGGAUGCAUGUUAGGUGGUUAGACCUAGCUAUUAGCGAGUAGAAAUGUUUGAUUAUUUAUUGAAUGUAUCUCGGGAUUUUUCCCGACCCGUUUCGGGCUCCAAUAAGGCAAUAUGGGCCUAAAUUGGAUUUUUAAUGUUUAUUUAUUUAUUUUCGAAAUUUAUUUAUUUAAUUAAUUAUUUUUCCGGAAAUUCAACCGGGAUGGCCGGUGACCGGAAUUUCGUGCUGAUUGUCGUGGUGCAGUCCAUUUAUUUAUUUGAGCUCUACGUUGUGUGGAAUUGAAUUUAUUGUGGAAUUUUAGGAAUUGUCCUAAAUUGUUUGUUAUUGAAUAUUUGAUUGAUGGAUGGCUGAGUAUGGAUAUAUAGCGCCAGUACGUUGAUGGGCUAUAUAGUAGGGAGAACGGUGAGAGCUAACUGAGAAUGUUAUUGGCCGAGACCAAUCAGGUACGAUGUUAUUGGACAUACGUGGUUCGGUGAUUGGAAGUAUCACUGGCGAAAACGGCGCCUUAAAGAACGCACGUAAAUGACUUAUAGACAAACGUGGUUCGGUGAUUAUGGGAAUAUCACUGGUGAAAACGGCGCCUUAAAGAACGCACGAUGUUGUCUAUAGCCGAUGUCACCUUGGCGAAAACGGCGCCCUUGAAAGGACACGUGGUUCGGUGAUCAAGGUUAUCACUGGUGAAAACGGCGCCUUAAAGAACGCACGGUGUCGGUGAUCGGUAUGUCAUUGGCGAAAACGACGCCCGAGAAACACAUGUGAUUUGAUGAAUGAGUACACCACUGAGAAAGCGUGGUAUGAGUGGGAAUGACCUAGAGAGGGUCUAAUUGACAUGUAAUCGACUUAGUCGAUUGGCCAGUGCUUGAUCGGAUGUCGUGAAUUGUUUGAAUAUUUGUGUUUAACCUUGAAUUGCAGGUUGGAACUGAGGCUAAGGUAAGUCCUCUGACUCGUGUUGUGCUUAGGCAACCGUAUGGCGUAUUAGUUUACUAAUCGAGUCGUAGGGGGUAGGACUCGCUGAGACGUGGUCUCAUUGGUUAUUGAAUAACCAUUUCAGGAACCUAAGGAGAAGCUAAGGAAGAGGAACCUGAAGGGGAGAAAGACUUUUGAAGAAGAAGAUGAUCCAGAGAGGGAUCUUGAUUAUAACCCGGAUGUGGACUGAGAUCCCAUCCAUUUUGUAAACC
rnacentral:lncRNA from 1 species